rnacentral:rRNA from 1 species
GACGAACGCUGGCGGCGUGCUUAACACAUGCAAGUCGAACGGAAAGGCCCUGCUUUUGUGGGGUGCUCGAGUGGCGAACGGGUGAGUAACACGUGAGUAACCUGCCCUUGACUUUGGGAUAACUUCAGGAAACUGGGGCUAAUCCCGGAUAGGAGCUCCUGCUGCAUGGUGGGGGUUGGAAAGUUUCGGCGGUUGGGGAUGGACUCGCGGCUUAUCAGCUUGUUGGUGGGGUAGUGGCUUACCAAGGCUUUGACGGGUAGCCGGCCUGAGAGGGUGACCGGCCAAAUUGGGACUGAGAUACGGCCCAGACUCCUACGGGAGGCAGCAGUGGGGAAUAUUGCACAAUGGGCGGAAGCCUGAUGCAGCAAAGCCGCGUGCGGGAUGACGGCCUUCGGGUUGUAAACCGCUUUCGCCUGUGACGAAGCGUGAGUGACGGUAAUGGGUAAAGAAGCACCGGCUAACUACGUG